rnacentral:rRNA from 1 species
CCUACGGGAGGCAGCAGUGAGGAAUAUUGGUCAAUGGUCGGGAGACUGAACCAGCCAAGCCGCGUGAGGGAGGAAGGUACAGAGUAUCGUAAACCUCUUUUGUCAGGGAACAAAGGCGGGGACGUGUCCCCGGAUGAGUGUACCUGAAGAAAAAGCAUCGGCUAACUCCGUGCCAGCAGCCGCGGUAAUACGGGGGAUGCGAGCGUUAUCCGGAUGUAUUGGGUUUAAAGGGUGCGCAGGCGGUCUGUUAAGUCAGGGGUCAAAGCCCGGGGCUCACCCCCGGCCCGCCGUUGAAACUGGCAGUCUCGAGUUGGAGAGAAGUAUGCGGAAUGCGCGGUGUAGCGGUGAAAUGCAUAGAUAUCGCGCAGAACUCCGAUUGCGAAGGCAGCAUGCCGGCUCCACACUGACGCUGAGGCACGAAAGCGUGGGUAGCGAACAGGAUUAGAUACCCUUGUAGUC